UACGUAGGGGGCAAGCGUUGUCCGGAAUCAUUGGGCGUAAAGCGCGUGUAGGCGGCUCGAUAAGUCUGCUGUGAAAGUCCAGGGCUCAACCCUGGGAUGCCGGUGGAUACUGUCGAGCUCGAGUCCGGAAGAGGCGAGUGGAAUUCCUGGUGUAGCGGUGAAAUGCGCAGAUAUCAGGAGGAACACCAAUGGCGAAGGCAGAUCCUCUGGGAC
rnacentral:rRNA from 1 species